rnacentral:lncRNA from 1 species
ACAGUGAGAACAGUUUCUGAAUUGAUUAAAACAUUUUCAAGCUGCAUGGUGUUCUGUGAUCCAUCAGACUCCCCAUGAUAUUGCAAUUGGCCCUCUACUACAGGAAUCACAACACUAGACUGCUCAACAACAGCCUCUACUGCAGGAUUCACUGAAUUGGUCUGCUCAACAACAGCCCCUACUGCAGGUAUCACUGAAUUGGUCUGCUCAGCAAUAGACUGCUUAGCAAUCCAUUCAGUUCUGAUAUGUUUCCCCUUCUGAUUCCCCUGCUGAUUCACUCUUCCUUUUUGCCUUAUAGGUUUAUUC